AACGAACGCUGGCGGCAGGCUUAACACAUGCAAGUCGAACGCCCCGCAAGGGAAGUGGCAAACGGUGGAGUAACGCGUGGGAAUCUCCCUUUUGCUACGGGAUAGCUCCGGGAAACUGGAAUUAAUACCGUAUUAGCCCACCUGGGUAAUGAGUACCGGCAAAGGAUUAGCCCGCGUUGGAGUAGCUAGUUGGUGGGAUAAAGGCCUACCAAGGCGACGAGCCAUAGCUGGUCUGAGAGGAUGAUCAGCCAGCUUGGGACUGAGACACUGCCCAAACGCCUACGGGAGGCAGAAGUGGGGAAUAUUGGACAAUGGGAGCAAGCCUGAUCCAGCAAUGCCGCGUGGGUGAUGAAGGUCUUAGGAUUGUAAAGCUCUUUCACCGGGGACGAUAAUGACGGUACCCGGAGAAGAAGGCCCGGCUAACUUCGUGCCAGCCGCCGCGGUAA
rnacentral:rRNA from 1 species